rnacentral:lncRNA from 1 species
GUGGAAUUAACCUGGUCUUAUAGCUAGCUGAACCUCUCACUUGUAUGACAGUCGAUAAGUGAAAGCUGUUACGUUAGCAUCACCAGAAUACUAGCAAUUGAAUGAUUUUAAAGUAUAUUAUAAGCAUGCAUUAUAAUUUUGGGCGAUUUGGCAAAGACAAAUUGUUUAUUUUCAAAUAAAUUUAAACCGAAGCGAGAAAAC